UCAAUUAGCCUUUCAGAAGUUGAUAAAUUUGAUGAAAUCUACUAAGGUCCAAUUCAAGACUUAAAAGUUAGAUGCCUAGCAUAGAAGCCCUCAAAAUUUGUUCACCAUAUAGCUAUCAAGGUGAAUGUUCUAUAGGUGCACUUAUUCCUAAAAUUUUAUCUUAUGUCAAAUCUACAUCAAUACAGCCUAAAGUCCAAUCAACCAAAUGAUUGA
rnacentral:misc_RNA from 1 species